CCAGCAGCCGCGGUAAUUCCAGCUCCAAUAGCGUAUAUUAAAGUUGCUGCAGUUAAAAAGCUCGUAGUUGGAUCUUGGGAGCGGGCGGGCGGUCCGCCGCGAGGCGAGCCACCGCCCGUCCCCGCCCCUUGCCUCUCGGCGCCCCCUCGAUGCUCUUAGCUGAGUGUCCCGCGGGGCCCGAAGCGUUUACUUUGAAAAAAUUAGAGUGUUCAAAGCAGGCCCGAGCCGCCUGGAUACCGCAGCUAGGAAUAAUGGAAUAGGACCGCGGUUCUAUUUUGUUGGUUUUCGGAACUGAGGCCAUGAUUAAGAGGGACGGCCGGGGGCAUUCGUAUUGCGCCGCUAGAGGUGAAAUUCUUGGACCGGCGCAAGACGGACCAGAGCGAAAGCAUU
rnacentral:rRNA from 1 species